rnacentral:tRNA from 1 species
UUAAUUGAAACCAAAUAGAGGUAUAUCACUGUUAAUGAUAUUAUUGAAUUAAAAUAUUCCAAUUAAA